rnacentral:sRNA from 1 species
AACACCUGAAGUGUCAUAUUGGGGACGGCCGGCCCUUCCCACCAUUUGCUAUAUAGUUGACGUGAGUUGGAUUUUCUUCACAUCUCUUUAAUCUCCUAACCUGAAUGUCAAUGUCGGAGUAUUCUUGGAAUCCAGACGAUGCACCCUGCCAGGCCAUGACGCCUUUGAUGACUACGGUAUGCGCCGGUAGAUUCACACCCACGGCCAAAGUCUACAAUCACGCUAUCAUAUGAAGUUUACCGUCGCGAAAACCAUCUUCAAUAGCUCUUCGGUCACCGUAGUCUAAACCGGCGUGGUGAACAGCAAUGCCACAGGUGGACAAUUCAGUUAAUUUUUUAUCUUGCAAUUCAAGUCGGGCGCUUUUGGGGAAGCAUCAAUUAUCAAGAUCAA